UCCACGGGGUCUGGUUUCGAGGCGGGGGUACAACCCCGAUCCUGCGAGCCGCUGAGUAGGUGAAGAUAGUUUGAAGACUGCUCGAGAAGUGUCUACCCCGCCUGAGGUGCUGCGCGCUGCUGAGGUGGCACAGCGCGUAUGCAUGCAUGCGGUGGGGUGCCGGGACCCCCAGUCCUGCGCGCAGGGCCUGCCUGGGCGCCCCUUCCGAGGGGACCACCUGUGACCUGGAACCCAGCUGGGCCCCGCCCGCGCCUCCCCAGAGAACGAUGGAGCGCACCCCUCGUCAGGUGGACGACCGAGAAAGCUGGCCGCUGAGUCAGCGUUCAUUUUAAAUGGGGGGCAAAUUGUGGGUAGAUUUCCCCGGUGGUGUUACUACAGAGGCUACGGAAGCAUUAGUUCUGGAGGAAGAAUUAAUCAGUAGGUUUGCGGGCGUCCAGAAGCGGGAUGCCCUACGUAUCCUGUGUACCUAGAUAUUCACCUUUCCCCCAGCUAGUCACAGGCUGUGUAAAAGUGUUUCUAAAAAGAUCUGUACCUUAUCAAGAGUGGUGACUUGACGUUUACGCGAUCCCCGCAAUUUGGCGUGAGGAUGAGCCGAUGCAGGUUUGCACACAAAAUGUGCUUUCUGCCCAUUGGAGUAAGAGGGAAGCAGAUUUUCUGGUAGGUGGGAUUUUGAAAAAGAGAUAAGGCAGUUUUCCAAUUUUGGCAAUGGAAGAAUGUUCCCCAUAUUUGGAUUUGCUUCACUUUCUAGUACAUAAACUCAGCCAAGCUAACGUGAAAGUCGAUGAUGGUGCAAGUGGACAGCGGAUUAAACUAAUUACUGUUAAAGUGGCCUCAGUGGUUAGAUAUGACUUCUGCCCCUUUCCGUUUCUGGACCUGGAUUUACUGGUGAAGCUAGGUUUUUCCUCCCCGAAGAGGUGACCGCUUCAGAUACCUGAAAAAAAAUCUGCUGCAGUAUUUGGGUCCAGUACUGAGCUCAGUGUAGGUUUGGGACGUCAGCCUUAACGUUUCUCCCAGGGCCUGUUGUACGUACAUGAGUUCUUCCUAUGUGUGAUUCCAAAUGCUACUUCUGAUCCCACAGACUGCUUUAUCUGACAUUCUUCCUACACCAAGGACUUUUAAUAUAAAAUAAAUCAUAGAACUAUAAGGGCUUAACACUUUAAACUCUCAUUUAAUAAACAGGAGAAGACGGACAUUCCAUCAAGAUUAAAUCAUUUGCACAAUCUCAUCUAAUUAGGCAGCUUAAAAAACAGGAUUUAGGGGCCCAAUCUAGUGGUUUGAGCUCCCACUCCAAGUGAUGAAUUCAUCUUAGUAGUUUGGAACAGGCCUUCCUUAUGGUUUGUACUUCAAGACUAAGGACACCUAAAAGAGGGAAAUUGCAUCGUUCACCUAUAGCCAACUUGACAGCAUAAUUUUUAGGAGUCAAGAAUCGCCAUUGGGUUUUUGUCUUAAGAUUAAGCCUUAAAAAUCCACUUGGAUGUGUCACAGCUGUGUGCACACCUGCACCUGAAAAUGGUCCUCUAUCAAGGCGCUCUCCCUCUUCAACUAAAUCAACAGCAGUGGUUUGAAGAAGAAGGGACCCCCUAUCUGACCAACCUCAGCCAGACUAAUCAAAUCAGUCUUUGUGAGCAAGGGUCAAAGCUGUGCAACGGUGGCCCCAUCACGCCUUUCCUGAGCAGCCCCCUCUAAGAUUGGCACCUGCAUGCAGAUCAUACCCUGUAUGAGGGAUGGAUUGAAGAUUCCCAUGAACAGAUUAGGUUUAUUGUAAAAGAUGAAAUCUUUGACUCAAAUUGAAGUUAAUUUCAUGGAUAAAGCUCAAAGUAUUGCUCUGGAUAUAAAUUAUGUUUGUAUGUAUUUAUAUAUGUAUGUAUAUACUACUGUGGAUCUGAAUUUUCUUUGUGGCCAUUUAUAUAGGUAUGUAUAUAUAGUUUGUGGAUACAUGUUUCCGUGUUCCAGAUUAGCACAGCUUAAAUUUAGUAAAUGUUGAAAAUAAAAUUAUUUUGGA